CUUAACUGAAUUUUAUAACGCUGAUCGAUAUCUUGGUAAAAUAUUCAUUUUUAAACUAGCGGGCAGUGAAAUCUUUGCUUUGUGUGCUAAAGUCAACAGUCGCUCGGUUUGAGCUCAAAUAAAUGCAGGGAUGCCUCGGCUGGGAGCAGUCCGCCGCCUCCCUCCGAGCGCAGGACGCUCCGACGCCCGCCUGCCCGCAGGCCACCGCAGGAACCUCACCGGUGCUGAGCAGUGAGAAAGCAGCCCCGAGGCUCCAGGGCAGAUCCCGUAAGUUCCAGUUGGGGAGAUUCCGGACCCUUUUCCAAAGAGAGUUGCGCUGAUCGCGUGUGCGUUGUUUUCAAAGCCAAGUAAAGGAAAUAACAGCCAAUUAAAAUGAAAUAUUUUCAGUUC